AGUGAACCCUACAACAGUUAUCCAAACAGAUCAAAACCUUGACCGACUGCCAUCCCUUCCCAAGAUCUCACAUCGUCUUCUCAGGGGAAAUCCAUAGGCGUCGUGUGUUUUCGGAGCCCAGGCGGGGAAGUGUGGUCACCCAGAAAACAACACACUAGUAUUGUUUGUGUUACCGUAAAUGUAUGUGUGUUGGUUGGAUGUAGAAAAUUCCACUUAGCGCUUUAGCGGCUAUCCGCUUCCUGUCCUUUCUGUUCGUGAUCGCCUGAGGGAGCAGUUGUGCGCGACUUGAGUUUUUCAAAGUAAAACGUAGCUAAUAGGAAGUGUAAAAACGUUACUUAAAAUCUACUUUACAUUACAGCAAAAAACAGUGCGAAAAACAAACACAACACGUUAAAAGUAAAGCUAAAUUAUGUUUAAUUUGCUUUGUUAGUACGAAAGUGACAAAGGCAUAAACAACUGUUAAAACGACAUUAAAACGAAGCACAUUGUAAAACUGCAGAUAAAAGGUCCACAAGGGCCUUUUUCUGUUUGGCUGGUUCUUACGAACCACACCAUAAUUAUCCCCAGGCAACCAACAGUUCCGGACAGAAAACACCGUUCGAGACCGGAGUCGAGCAAGCACUUGGUAUCGACUCGAACAUAACCUCGUAUUGGACCGGUCAGCAUCAAAACAACAUCUUUUAGCCCGACGCUGGUGUCGAAAGGUCAACAAACAACAAUCAUACCAGCAUGCUUUAUUUCCGGCCGUUCCCAACUAUGCUAGAACCGGCAAGUAUUGGGGCGGCAUUUUGCAUGUCAGUCGUCUCCAGCCAGGUGCCUCCGUUACUGGUUGAGACGGUGAAUAAUAAGCCGACAGAGGAAUCGCAGCCGCGCGGCGAUUAACCAACGCCGAGGAAGAACCAAAGCCGCAAGUAUUAAUAGUGUGUGACGUCAUGCCAGGGCCCAUCCGUAAAAUAAACUUAAGCAUUAUUGUAAUCGCAUCCAAAAAUUGUGUAACUGUAGAAAUCCGUAAUCGCUUUACACUUCCGGGAAUCGUUAAAGUUUCGAACCAAAAUGGUUAUCAAAUCUCUCUCUAGGGUGGUCCGCUCAGUGAUUCACAGUUUGCGUUGUUUAUCAUAUUUUGAAUUUCCGACUCUGGUUGAUAGCAUGAGAGGUACCCACCCGUUUCGGCACCUCUGAAAAACAUGUUAGCUGUAAUUGGAAUCCCUUGCGUGAGGUUACUCCAGAAGACGGUGUAACGUAGUGAAUUUCCCUGUAACGACCCUGAGUCCCACCAUAAUCUCUCCUUCCCAUGUUCCCACCCACUGAGUGUAGCUGUCCGCGAGUUACAUUCUGGCGCCCACAUAAAAAAAAGAAAAAAGUUCGCUAUGUUUACAUUUCACGAUCCCCCGGAGAGGGAUGAAAAUCAGUUCCUGAUAGAAACUUGAUCGUCCUCCGAACGAUCUCUGCUUAAUAUCCCGGACAAAGUUUUAGGUCAUAUUGUGAAAACAGUUCAUCUACAGAUAGCAAUGCAAAUUUUUUAUCAAACAGCUAACAUAGCUAAAUUUCACGGAUGAUUGUGUACUAAAUUGAUCCCCUAUCGGUGCAAAAUUUGUUUAUUUACAACAGUGUGAACAUGUUAUAGUUUAUGUUAUUAAUAUUUACAUUUAUUUUCUGUUUUUUAGAACCGAUAACAACGGAUGUAGAAAGCAACAAAAUUUAAAAAGGAAAUCUGCUGGCUCAUUUUAUAAGCAUAACCAUGAGAGCUCCGAUUACAAUUAAAAAAAUUACCAAACGGAGACAUCUGGAUGAUUGUCUCAAAAGUAUCAGAAAAACUAUCGAGAUUUACAGAGGUUCUCUCGAAAACGCCGUAUUAGAAUGUUGCGCACUUCGAAGAAUCGUGAUAUUCGGUUACCAAACAAUGUACAGAUAUUUGGAGGAAAAUUUUACAAGUUUAGUCCCCAAGACGACAGUUACAAAGUGAAUAACAAACCAGCUAGCAUAUGCUAAGUGUGCAAGCAACUACUUGGAAGGGCAAGUAGUUCCGGAAAAUGUCCAAAUCCCUUACUAAAAUUCAAAUCCGACCCUAUAGAUUUUGUCGAAAAAGAUUAUCAAAUCUUAAAUUCUCCCGAUUUUGCCCAAUGUGUAUUAGGAGCAAAGAAAUUGAAACUUAAACUAAUUUUGAAAAUGAAAUUUCUGACUAGAAGCAAAAUACUCAAAGGAGUUGGAAAUUGUUCUAAUUUGUUAGCUGAAAACCCUCAAGAACGAAUCUUUCAGUUUGUACCCCGAACUUUGAAAAUCUAGAUGUGGUAGGAUAUUUUUGAGAAUUCCAGAUCUUUGACGAUCUUACAGAAAUGACAAUUUUCAGUUUUUUCACAAGUGGAAUGAAAAUAGAUUGUAGAAUCCAGAUUUAAUGCUACUUUAAGAAUCGUAUCAGCUCUUUUAACUACCACAGUUCAUGAAAAUUUUCAAAAUUUUCCUGAGUAGCAGUUGAACAAAUUAGAAUUACUUUAUCAACAUUGCAAUCUUCGAAUAACAUCAGUACUAACUAACGUAUCUCCUUAACCGAAUGCUACCAAAUUCCAUAGUUUCAAAAUUCUCUUCCUAGAUUUUUCAUUGAAUUCAGUCCAACUACAAACUCUCAAUACACAAUACAAACUCUCGGCAGAAAGCCUGAUACGAACGAAGACGUUUGCAUCAAGAUCUGUAGGAGAUCUGGUCUAACGCAACAGUACAGUAUGCAGUUCCCAACUCACUUGGAAAAGUUUGCCUCAUCUUUGUUUUUUACAAUAUGAAGGAAUAGUAAUGCACGGAAUAAACUUCGUCAGUAGUGAAAACUGCGUCAACAAAGCUUCAAUAGGAAUUUCGGAUAUUCAAUAACAAAUUCACCGAAUUUUGGAACACAAAUAGAAACACAUAUUCACACUCUUGCUCCUAGAAACACAAAAAUAAUAAUCAAACACUAAAAAUAUACUUAUUCUUUUAAACAUUUUG